rnacentral:rRNA from 1 species
AGAGUUUGAUCAUGGCUCAGAUUGAACGCUGGCGGCAGGCCUAACACAUGCAAGUCGAGCGGUAGCACAGAGAGCUUGCUCUCGGGUGACGAGCGGCGGACGGGUGAGUAAUGUCUGGGAAACUGCCUGAUGGAGGGGGAUAACUACUGGAAACGGUAGCUAAUACCGCAUAAUGUCGCAAGACCAAAGUGGGGGACCUUCGGGCCUCAUGCCAUCAGAUGUGCCCAGAUGGGAUUAGCUAGUAGGUGGGGUAACGGCUCACCUAGGCGACGAUCCCUAGCUGGUCUGAGAGGAUGACCAGCCACACUGGAACUGAGACACGGUCCAGACUCCUACGGGAGGCAGCAGUGGGGAAUAUUGCACAAUGGGCGCAAGCCUGAUGCAGCCAUGCCGCGUGUGUGAAGAAGGCCUUCGGGUUGUAAAGCACUUUCAGCGGGGAGGAAGGCGUUAAGGUUAAUAACCUUGGCGAUUGACGUUACCCGCAGAAGAAGCACCGGCUAACUCCGUGCCAGCAGCCGCGGUAAUACGGAGGGUGCAAGCGUUAAUCGGAAUUACUGGGCGUAAAGCGCACGCAGGCGGUCUGUCAAGUCGGAUGUGAAAUCCCCGGGCUCAACCUGGGAACUGCAUUCGAAACUGGCAGGCUAGAGUCUUGUAGAGGGGGGUAGAAUUCCAGGUGUAGCGGUGAAAUGCGUAGAGAUCUGGAGGAAUACCGGUGGCGAAGGCGGCCCCCUGGACAAAGACUGACGCUCAGGUGCGAAAGCGUGGGGAGCAAACAGGAUUAGAUACCCUGGUAGUCCACGCCGUAAACGAUGUCGAUUUGGAGGUUGUGCCCUUGAGGCGUGGCUUCCGGAGCUAACGCGUUAAAUCGACCGCCUGGGGAGUACGGCCGCAAGGUUAAAACUCAAAUGAAUUGACGGGGGCCCGCACAAGCGGUGGAGCAUGUGGUUUAAUUCGAUGCAACGCGAAGAACCUUACCUGGUCUUGACAUCCACAGAACUUUCCAGAGAUGGAUNGGUGCCUUCGGGAACUGUGAGACAGGUGCUGCAUGGCUGUCGUCAGCUCGUGUUGUGAAAUGUUGGGUUAAGUCCCGCAACGAGCGCAACCCUUAUCCUUUGUUGCCAGCGGUCCGGCCGGGAACUCAAAGGAGACUGCCAGUGAUAAACUGGAGGAAGGUGGGGAUGACGUCAAGUCAUCAUGGCCCUUACGACCAGGGCUACACACGUGCUACAAUGGCAUAUACAAAGAGAAGCGACCUCGCGAGAGCAAGCGGACCUCAUAAAGUAUGUCGUAGUCCGGAUUGGAGUCUGCAACUCGACUCCAUGAAGUCGGAAUCGCUAGUAAUCGUAGAUCAGAAUGCUACGGUGAAUACGUUCCCGGGCCUUGUACACACCGCCCGUCACACCAUGGGAGUGGGUUGCAAAAGAAGUAGGUAGCUUAACCUUCGGGAGGGCGCUUACCACUUUGUGAUUCAUGACUGGGGUGAAGUCGUAACAAGGUAACCGUAGGGGAACCUGCGGUUG